UCUCAAUCAAGAUAAUUAACAUAUCCAUCACCUCAUACAGUUUUCUUUUAUUGCAUGUGUGGUAACCAUAGUUAAGAUCUGCUCUCUUAGCACAUUGCAAGCAUACAAUGUGUUAUUGUUACCUAUGGUCACUGGCUCUACGUUAGCUGUCUAGAACUUAUCUUAUAACUGAAAGUUUGCACCCUUUGGCCACUAUCUCCCUAUUUUCCUCAUCCCCAACCCCUGGAAACUACCUUUCUGCUCUCAGUUUCUAUGUGGUUAGUAAAAAGCAAAACCCAACAGGUUCUAGGCUGUUGAGGCUCUGUGUUGGAAGCACGUCAACAGGUGUACAGGACACUCUUUGGUCUUGGGAUGAAUGGCGGCUUCAAUUGUAUUAUAUUUGUAUAAUUAUAUUUGUAUAAUUGUAUAAUAUUCACUGUAUAGUUAAAAAUGAAUUAGAUGAGUGAAAAAAAUAGAUGACAAAAUGAAAGAAGCCCAAGAAUAGACUAUGCAGACAAUGUUUUAUGAACUUAAGAUUAAGAAUAAUCCAUUUGUGUACAGUUGUGGACUAUUUAAAACAAAAUAAGACUUUUACUUCUGUGGAUUUGUUUUGAAUGUACUAAUCAAUAUUUUUGUUCUAGAUUAGUGCUGGGUUCAUCUGUGUUUAUUGUAUUUAAAAAUAAGUAAAAAUAUUAAAAAGAAUGAGUAGGAAAUAAUGAUGAGAUUAUAUCUGGAAUCAAAGAUUAUUAUUAUUCCAACUCUGUAUUUGAGUCCAGUUGGAAGAAUAUCUGGGUUGGUUCCUUUGUGGGUAAGAAGCAUAGGGACAAGUGCUUGUAAUACUCAUUGUUUCUGUUUGUGAUUAGGGCGGUAAAUUAAUGCAUACUCACUGUAAUAAUAAAAAUUAAUAAAUGUCUAAAUACAUGCAAUGAGAGCUAUGCUUGAGCCAGUGGUGAGACUGUGUCAUGAACGAAAGAUUAUGACUAAUCCUGUGCUUCUCACCUGAUGGCCAUUAAAAAAUAUCUAGGAUGUUUCAUCCCUGUUGACAUAUCUGCCUUGUGUUCCGCAGAGUGGAGGCCCCAAGUGAAUGUAAUGACACUGUCUUGAUGAAGAUCUCGGGUGUGACCUUUGUGGGGAAUGAGCCGUGAACCCAUGAAACCUGCUUGGAUAACUCCCUAGACCGCAAUAGAGCCUCCCUCCUUCCUGUUGGGUUUUUGAGGCACGCUGGAUCUAUUCAAUAUACCAAAUCUGAUUUAUUCAUCAUCCAGUGACGGAGAUCUUGGCCGUCACUUCUCUGGACGAGGAGCCGAGGGAGGCAGUCCGUAUUUUGCUUCACCAAAUGCACACGCCACAGAUGACUUAACCAUUCUCUAGUGCUAAAGAUCUCGGCCUUUUCCUCUGUGGGUAAGGAGAGAAGAGAUUAGUAUGAAAAGAAAUCUAGACUCAUUCCACUUUGAACAAAGCACAUGUCAGCAGUUGCAUGAAAUGGUAUUUCAGUUCUGGAUUGCUGAAUGACAAGCACAUAGCUGGUUUUAUUAUCCUCUAAUCACAAAGACCAUAACUGUUCCUUCUGGACGAAGGCGCAUAAAGACUGACAGUGAACGCAAGACAGUUGAUUUAGUCAUUCAGUAAAGAGUGUUAUCCUGAAUAAGGGGCGUAGACACUAAUAUAAAAUGAACACAUUCCACCCGACUGAGUUAUUGCCUUCUGGUGAAGAUGUUGCCUUUCACCUCCAUGGAUGAGGAGGGAAGAGAUCCAUGCAGAGCGGGCAGCGUACCACGUGGGAUUUGGUUGUUCCCCUGCGAUGAAGAGCACGGCUGCUGCUUUGGUGGGUGAGGAGCAAUGUCAGUGCAAGAGUUUCUGCUCUGGACCAAAGACCAUGGCCGAUUUAAUCAGUUUCUGCUGAUGAAGAUCAUGGCUUGUCCCUUUGUGGAAUGGAUGCACAGGGAUUCAUUCACCCAUUCUCCAGCGAGGACCGUCUGGCUGUCGUCUUUUGGGUAAUGUUUCUAGAAACCUACAAUGGAGGUACGAGGGCUGAUUCAAUCAUCCCCACACGUGAAGGUUUUGGUGGUUGCCUAUUUGGGUAUGGAGAGAGUAGGCUGAGAAUGAGUGUCGCAGUCUGCUCUCAGCGCCGGGCUGUGGCCCCGAGCUCUGUGCUGCGCUGUGUGUCAGCACAAGGACUCAUGUGAGUAGCAGCUAAAAUUCUUUGCCUUUGUAGUCAUCACUUAAGAAUGAAUUUAUUCUUAAGUGUUUCCUGUGCAUACAUAGUCAUUUUAUUAUGGUUAUUACCCAGUUUUAUUAGGGUUAUUAACCAAUGGAUGACUUAUUUCGACAAAUAAAUGUGGGGAUGAAGGAAGAGAGAGAGAGUCAGUCUUGGGCCUGUGAUGACAACUGACGGCGUACGAGUCAGGGACGAUGAAUACAGCUCUGGAAGUCUGAGGUCCGGCACAGUAGAUAGUCUAGGCUGUACCUUCUGAUCCUAUGGACAGAUGUUAGGGAUAUUCGAGGGCUUUUGUUCUUGGGCUUCACGUUCAUGCACUUCCAUUUUAUUUUUAUAACUGGAUCAAUGACUCAGUAAACAGAAAUAUAAAGAUAAAGAGGGCAAAUCAUUGUCCAGUUAUGAAAAUAUAUGGUGUGACGAAAAAUGCUAUUAAUACAUAUUAGAAACGCUGAAGUCCAUUAAGAAACAAUGCCUCAAAGGUGUUACUUCUUUGCCUGAGGAUGAUAUAAAGUAAAAAUAGUGGCCUCUGCCCUUGUUCGGUCAGGGCCAUGUUCAAUGUUGUUUUCUGAAGAAGAAGGGAAAAAAAAACAACCCCACAAACAUGAAUGCAUACUUAAUGACUAAGAAAAUAAAGGAGAAAUGCAAGGAUGAAUGGACAGAAUACUUCAAUCUUUGUAUGAUCUUUUCUUCUUUGUACUCUGAGAAUGGAUGCUUCCAAACUGCUUUAAGCAUUCUUCUAUGGUCACAAGCUCCGUGAUCGCAACGGUGUAUUGGGAGCGUAGAGACCAACAAUGGGCACACUGGAGUUGGUUCAAGGAUUUUUCUAUGGUCAGAAACUCUGCAGUCCUCUGUAGUUGGUGACACCGAUACCAAUAAUGGACAGGCCCAGCUGGCGGAAGCAAUCGGCCGUGACCCUGUUCUCCACGGCUGCCUCUGUGGGUAGGGACCGGGAGACCCAAUAGUGGACAUGCCGGAGCUGAUUUAAGGGUUCUCCCAUAGUCACAAGACGAUGGUUGCCGCUGUAUGUUUGGAGCAUAAAAACCACUAUUGGACACAUCCAAGCAGAUUUAAGCCUCGGUCCAUGGUCUCUAUGGCUGACUCCAUGUGCACGAGCAUGGAAGCCAAUAUGAGAAUGAAGAGGAAGACUUGACACCUGGACCAACGAUGACAGUGGGUGACUGUGGGUAACCCAAGCUGGUUCAAGCAUUUGACAGUGAUAACAUGCUUCAUGAUUGCCUCUGUGUGUUAGAACAUGGACCAAUGUGAAUAAUAGUCAAUGUUCUUGUUGUGGUUUUUGUGCUUUGUUUAAUGUAUUCAUUGUGACAUUGAAAAUAUAAUUAUAUAGACAUUAAAUAUACUCAAAGAAGGCCAAUCAUUUCCCAAUCAUAAAUAUAGAGUUGACAUGAAACAUGUUGAUCAAUUGAGUUUUGCAACAAUAAGAUUGGUUAAUGAAAGAGGUAUAAUAUUUGCAUGCCAAACACCCGAUAAAGGGCUGAUAACUAGACUCUAUAUAGAACUCAGGAAAAUCAGCAAGAAAAAAAA